rnacentral:sRNA from 1 species
CGCUUCGCCUUGACUGAGGGGCGAGGGAUCUUUAGACUCUCGUACCCCUAAUUAUGGCGGGGCUUUUGCCCUGCCAUUUGCUUUUCAAGUAGGGCAAUAGCGUCGAAAGACAUCAGUGGAGCUAAAA